CAGUCGAGCGGGAGUUAAGGUAGCUUGCUACUUUAACUUUAGCGGCGGACGGGUGAGUAACGCGUGAGCAACCUGCCCUAUACGCAGGGAUAACAUUGAGAAAUCGAUGCUAAUACCUUAUAAGCUAACGGUUAAACAUUUAACAGUUACAAAAGCUGAGGCGGUAUAGGAUGGGCUCGCGUCUGAUUAGCUUGUUGGUAAGGUAAAGGCUUACCAAGGCGACGAUCAGUAGCCGACCUGAGAGGGUGAACGGCCACAUUGGAACUGAGACGCGGUCCAAACUCCUACGGGAGGCAGCCCUGGGGAAUAUUGCACAAUGGGGGGAACCCUGAUGCAGCAACGCCGCGUGAAGGAAGAAGUAUUUCGGUAUGUAAACUUCUAUCGAUGGGGAAGAAAAAAAUGACGGUACCUAAAUAAGAAGCACCGGCUAAAUACGUGCCAGCAGCCGCGGUAAUACGUAUGGUGCAAGCGUUAUCCGGAAUUACUGGGUGUAAAGGGUGAAUAUGCGGUUAUGCAAGUCAUAUGUGAAAGACUGUGGCUCAACCACAGAGGUGCAUAAGAAACUGUGUAACUAGAGUGCAGGAGAGGUAAGCGGAAU
rnacentral:rRNA from 1 species